rnacentral:piRNA from 1 species
UUUUCUUAACGUCGUUUGGACCUGG